rnacentral:lncRNA from 1 species
AUACAACAUGCAUACGAGAAAAAAAUAUGUUUUUAUACCAUAAAGAUCAAAAUAUUAAAGGGAAACAAAGCUGUAACGGAUCACCUGGCACCCCAACUGGGUACCUCCGUUAAAGGAUACUCCUAGUGUUUCCUGAGGACUCCAAGCACUCUGGCAGACACCACAACCACCGAACCGGAGAAGCAUAUGAGUACUUCUAAGCAUAUGAAUGUUGUAUACAGCCGAAUAGGAAAAACCAUGCGAAUAGGUUUACACUCCUAGCAGUCGAACUGGAACAGCAUACAAUAAAUCCCCCCCAAUAAUGAGACGACACUUAACUUUGAGGGUUAAGCAGGAACUCUCCUGGAAUGGCCACACACUGGCUUUUAUGCAAGUCCCCAUGCAAGGGGACAUCCCACAGGGUGGGACACAGUACAACCAAUCGUUUACAGGAGAACCGUAAAACACACCCAGCACAAACAUACAUCCCUCCCCUCUGCCUGUGAUAUAAUUACUGAACACAAUGGGUUAAUGUAAUUUAUCACAGGCAGGAAAAAUACACUUUUUAUACAUACACUGUAACUUUAAAAAUAUGCAUCAUAUUCACAUAAAGCAUACAUAUUCAGAAUCAGCAUACUUUAAAUAUAAACAUAACUAAAAUUCAGCCAAUUCCAUCCAGGGGUUAAAAAGUUAAGGAAAAGUCCUAUUUGACCAAAUGCAGCAUGGCUUUUCUGCCCAAAACCAGUUCCACAGAGUCUUCUAUCCUGGAGAUAAUCGGGAAGUAAUCCAAUUAUCUCCAGGACAGAGGCAAAACUCCAUUGAACACAUGGCAGACAAAGGACAAUAAAAGACAUAAAAAUACAUACGGUUACAUUUAUCACAUAGUACAUACACAUUCUACCUAUCCCCAGAUAGCUUAGAUCUGAGCGCACAUUAUUACCGGAUGGCGCUCAGAUCACAUACAUACAGUUCAAUCGCCAUGGAGCCAAAGUCUUUCAUACAGUCUUUCAGUAUACGGCUGGGCUCCAUGGCAUAGCUAUCUGGGGUAGCAUGGCUUUAACAGUCCGCAGAAAGGCACGAAUAAACCUUUCUGCAGGUAAAACACAAGUUUAAAAUGCAGGACCAUAGUCUAAAGGGAGCAGGCGAGCAACCAGGCCUCUCCAGUGGACAGUGGCGAGGUUGGUCCCGCCACAGCGAUAUCAUCUAGGUAGGCACACGCGUAAUCCUGGAGACCUUCCAACAAGUGGUCCACCAUCCGUUGGAAGGUGGCCGGGGCGUUCAUCCCGAACGGCAUAACCCGAAAUUGGCAUAGGCCGAACGGGGUGAUGAAGGCUGACCUGGGUAUUGCAUCUUCUGCUAGUGGGAUCUGCCAAUAUCCCUUACAUAGGUUGAUUGUGGUCAGAUACUUCCCUGCAGAGAUACGGUCAAGCAGUUCGUCCAUCCGUGGCAUCGGAUAGGCGUCAUUGAGCCGCCAGUAAUCUACACAGAAGCGGGUUGUCCCGUCCUCCUUUGGCACUAAGACCACCGGUGAGGCCCAAGGGCUGUCAAAAUGUUCUAUUACCCCUAGAGGAAGCAUUUCGUCAAUUUCCUUCCGCAUCCUGUCUCGGACAGCUUCAGGUAGGGAGGCUGCCUUAGAGGCGCCUGCCCCGGGGUUUCUACUUUGUGGACGGCUAGGGGGGGUGUACCCGGGCUCCUGCGAGAACGUGGCCUGUUUGGCUUCUAGCAAGCGGAUAACUUGUGCCCUCUCUUGGGGUUCUAGCUGUUCGCCUAGCUGAACUUUUUCUAUCUGCCUUGUCUCUUCGUUAUUGCCCAAUUAGUCGGGUAGGGGCAGAGCCUCUGUGUCCUCCCCUGCUUGAGCACAGAUGGCGGUCACCUCCUCAGCCCUCUAGUGAUAUGCUUUAAGCAUGUUGAUGUGAAAUGUUCGUUUCACAUCUUCAUCCUCGCAGCUGGCUAUGGUGUAGGUAGUAUCGCAUAUCUGCCCUAUAACCUUAUAGGGACCCUGCCAGGCGGCCUGGAGCUUGUCAGUUCAGACCGGUCUUAGCACCAUGACCUUUUGCCCGAUCUGAAAGCUCCGGUACCUAUCCCGUUGGUCGUACCACACUUUUUGGUGCUGCUGGGCCGCCUGGAGGUUUUCCUGCAUGGUCUGGGCUAAUUCCUCCAUGCGGUCCCGCAGCUCCAGCACGUAGGGCACAAUCGGGGUCCCCUCUAUCUCGGUCUGCCCUUCCCAGUGGUCCUUGAUAAGAUCUAGGGGCCCCUCAUAUAGCAGUUCGAAGAGUCAGAACCCGGUUGAUUCCUGGGGCACCUCCCGGUAUGCAAAGAGAAGGUGUGGCAGGAAUCGCUCACAGUCUUUAUAGGCUCCCGUGAACGACUUCAGCAUUUGCUUCAGUGUCCCGUUGAAGCGUUCGCACAGGCAAUUGGUCUGGGGAUGGUAUGGGGAACUAGUCAGGGAUUUAACUCUGCAGACUUUCCAGAUCUGCUGGGUCACCUCGGCCGUGAACUGCGUACCCUUGGGAAAGCCCACUCGGAAGAAUAUCUUGACCAGGGCAUCAGCCACCGUCUCAGCCUGGAUAUUAGAAAGGGCUACAGCUUCGGGGUAACAAGUAGCGUAAUCUACCACAGUGAGGAUAUAGCGUUUACCGGAGCGGCUAGGCUGGGCCAGGGGUUCUAUGAUGUCUACAGCUACCCUCGUGAACGGUUCCUAUAUUAUUGGCAUAGAAACCAGUUUAGCUUUCGGGUGGUCUCCUUUUUUGCCUAUCCUUUGACACACCUCGCACAUCUGGCAAUAUGCCCGGACGUCGUCGGACACCCCAGGCCAGAAGAAGUUCUGGGUUACCCGAUAUAACGUCCUGCGUAUCCCCAUGUGUCCUUCUAAAGGUACAUCGUGCCCAGUCCUUAAUAACUCCUGCCGGUAUUUCCGUGGAACUACCAGCUGGCGUUUUUGCUGAGGUCCGGGUCUGCGUUGACCCGUGUCUCGGUGAGCCUGUAUAACCGGCCCUUUUCCCAGAUAAACUGCUCCUUUUCUAACCCCCCAAGCCUUUUCCCUGUACUUUCUGAGAGAAGGAUCUGUGACGGUAGUAGAAGAUAUCCCCGUCAAGCAUUCCCUUCUUCCCAUAAAAGAAAAGCACUCAAUAUUCCAUAAGCAGAAAUAUCCCUGGAAUCGCCGAAUAAUCCCCACAUGAGCAAAGGCUUAAUGCUGGAACAAGACUGAUUUACUGGCACACAGAACUCACAAUUUAUGCAACACAAAACUCCUCCUCUGGGCCAGGCUAGAUAAUUGAGUUUCUACAAUACACAAAGCUCAAUUAUCUGCUGGCCAGAAACAUUACAAUUUAUAACAAUUUCAGAAACAUACUUUUUAUAAGACAUACAAAUAUACUUUUAACAUCCCUGGGUAGCUGAGGAUACUGGUAGUCACAUAUUCCGUUUGGUAGUUUCCGUGUCGCAUCGUGUGGAAGUUUGACCGGCUUGCCAUGUGGAGGUAUCCGAGUUACAGUUCCAUAGAAUCAGUAGCAAGAGCCGGUCUCCGUUCGCAUCUAACUACACAAAAACCACCGUUCGUAUGGUUCAGCUGGUUACCUGUGAAUGUUCCCCUCAUUCGGUAGAUACUAUCUACCGAACGCCAGUUUGAUUCGUGGAGGGGAACGUAUUCAUCCAGGACUUCCAUGGGGACCGGGCGUUUGCAUGUUUCCCGUACCGAAAACAGUUCCAUGCAAUCCAUGCGUAAGCCCCGCUGACCGCAUUCGUGAGUUUUAAGAUGGCAAUUAAGUUGCGGUUUCUCUGUGUUCUAAUUGCUACUUGCUACCCAGGGUGUGUGGCCCCCUUUCGGUAAACGAAUACAUUCAUUCUCAACAUUUUGAACCGAACAAUAUAGACAUUAAAACAGCAGGGAGAGGAUUAAGCUGAAAGCAUAUAGGCAAAUACAUAAAAGUCCUUCACAGGGUCUCCGGCUACUUCCCUCCCAAAGUCCUCUGGGGUAUCCCAGGGAAGGGGCGCUACAGUCAGGGGUAGGUCGGGUUGGCUUACCUGGGUCUCUGUAGGAUGCGCAUGGCUCUCGGCAGCGCGACUUUGUGCUCUGGUGCAUGAGCCUCGUGAGGGGGUGUUGAUGCAAAAGCAGAAGUUAGAGGACCAAGAUCAUGGCCCAACACGACUUCGGAGGGUAACUCUUUCAACACGCGUACUUGAACAUUGCCAGCUCCCGCACCCCAGUCCAGAUGCACUUGUGCGGUAGGAAUUCGAUACACUGCCCCCCCGCCACUCUCACAGCAAUAGAUUUCCCCGGCUGUUCUGACGCAUUGAUGAGGUGUUGUUACACGGAAAUAGCUUCUCACCGGUCUUACAUGUUCCCAGCUUGCACCGCUGCAAUCUAUAAUGAAUAUGGCUGCGAGGCUUAUUUUCCUGUCCGGUCGCACCUCCCACGCCUCCACGCUGUCAGUCCCUGCAUUGGCUUCCAGUUAGAUAUAGGGCCCAAAUCAAAAUUCUGGCGCUUGCUUACAAAUCCCUACAUAAUGCUGCUCCAACAUACCUAUCCUCCCUCAUACACAAGUAUGUCCCGACGAGACCCCUGCGCUCAGCCCAAGACCUACGCCUAUCCUCUGCCCGGAUCCCCACCUCUGAUGCUUGCCUUCAAGACUUCUCCAGGGCUGCACCUAUUCUGUGGAACUCACUUCCCUCCUCAAUCAGACUUUCAGCCAGCCUCCAUUCCUUCAAAAAAUCUUUGAAAAAGCACUUCUUUAUCAAUUAAACUGUCAGCAGGUUUCUCAUCCCCCACCCCAUGACUCCGUUCCUUCACCUGUCAAAAAUGACCUACCAAGCACUCAAUAAACCCUUCUGUAACAAACUAUUUAAUUCCCCUACUUUAACCCUUUGUGUCACUAUACCCC